UGGACGUUGACAAAUGUUUUGAGGGGUUAGAUUCCACGUUCUACCAGUCCGUAACUAAGAAAACCACCAUUUUGAAUUCUGAUUUUUUUUUGGGUAUAUAAUUUCUCAAAAAAUAAACAAGAAUGUCACAUUUUGAGCCUCAAAAUCUUCUUUUUGUCUAUAUUGAAACCAUUCUGAAGCGUACGAAAAGUAAAAAUACUUUUAGUAUUCAUGUUUGAAAUCCAGAGUAUACAUAUGACGUCACAUUGUUUAGAUGCUAAAGACGAUGCAACAGUUUCGCGGACUUUUUCAUUUAUGGCAUUUUUAAGCCAAAAUAUUUAUUAAAUGAAAUUUAAUUUAAUAUGUGGCAUUAGAAUGGAGAUAACUGUAUUGUAUUUUAAGCUUGGCCUUCGUAAAACUUGAUUUUACUGUCGCAAAUAUCCGUUUACCUAUCUCCGCUCCGCGUCGCUAGGUAAACUCAAUUUGCGACAGUAAAAUCUACGUUUUACGAAGGCCAAGCUUAAAAUACAAUACAGUUAUCUCCUAAUUUUAAGAAAACA
rnacentral:lncRNA from 1 species